CAGUCGCCACGGGAAUACAGAGGGUGCAAGCGUUAAUCGGAAUUACUGGGCGUAAAGCGCGCGUAGGUGGUUCGCCAAGUUGGAUGUGAAAUCCCCGGGCUCAACCUGGGAACUGCAUUUGUGACUGUAUAGCUAGAGUACGGCAGAGGGGGAUGGAAUUCCGCGUGUAGCAGUGAAAUGCGUAGAUAUGCGGAGGAACACCGAUGGCGAAGGCAAUCCCCUGGGCCUGUACUGACGCUCAUGCACGAAAGCGUGGGGAGCAAACAGGAUUAGAUACCCGUGUAGUCCCUGUCUCUUAUAU
rnacentral:rRNA from 1 species